AUUGAACGCUGGCGGCAGGCCUAACACAUGCAAGUCGAGCGGAUGAAGGGAGCUUGCUCCUGGAUUCAGCGGCGGACGGGUGAGUAAUGCCUAGGAAUCUGCCUGGUAGUGGGGGAUAACGUCCGGAAACGGGCGCUAAUACCGCAUACGUCCUGAGGGAGAAAGUGGGGGAUCUUCGGACCUCACGCUAUCAGAUGAGCCUUGGUCGGAUUAGCUAGUUGGUGGGGUAAAGGCCUACCAAGGCGACGAUCCGUAACUGGUCUGAGAGGAUGAUCAGUCACACUGGAACUGAGACACGGUCCAGACUCCUACGGGAGGCAGCAGUGGGGAAUAUUGGACAAUGGGCGAAAGCCUGAUCCAGCCAUGCCGCGUGUGUGAAGAAGGUCUUCGGAUUGUAAAGCACUUUAAGUUGGGGGGAAGGGCAGUAAGUUAAUACCUUGCUGUUUUGACGUUACCAACAGAAUAAGCACCGGCUAACUUCGUG
rnacentral:rRNA from 1 species